rnacentral:rRNA from 1 species
GAUGAACGCUGGCGGCGUGCCUAAUACAUGCAAGUCGAGCGAACAGACGAGGAGCUUGCUCCUCUGACGUUAGCGGCUGACGGGUGAGUAACACGUGGAUAACCUACCUAUAAGACUGGGAUAACUUCGGGAAACCGGAGCUAAUACCGGAUAAUAUAUUGAACCGCAUGGUUCAAUAGUGAAAGACGGUUUUGCUGUCACUUAUAUAUGGAUCCGCGCCGCAUUAGCUAGUUGGUAAGGUAACGGCUUACCAAGGCAACGAUGCGUAGCCGACCUGAGAGGGUGAUCGGCCACACUGGAACUGAGACACGGUCCAGACUCCUACGGGAGGCAGCAGUAGGGAAUCUUCCGCAAUGGGCGAAAGCCUGACGGAGCAACGCCGCGUGAGUGAUGAAGGUCUUCGGAUCGUAAAACUCUGUUAUUAGGGAAGAACAAAUGUGUAAGUAACUAUGCACGUCUUGACGGUACCUAAUCAGAAAGCCACGGCUAACUACGUG